rnacentral:rRNA from 1 species
CACGUAGGGGGCGAGCGUUGUCCGGAUUUAUUGGGCGUAAAGAGCUCGUAGGCGGCUCAGUAAGUCGGGUGUGAAAACUCCAGGCUCAACCUGGAGACGCCACCUGAUACUGCUGUGGCUAGAGUCCGGUAGGGGAGCAUGGAAUUCCUGGUGUAGCGGUGAAGUGCGCAGAUAUCAGGAGGAACACCAGUGGCGAAGGCGGUGCUCUGGGCCGGAACUGACGCUGAGGAGCGAAAGCGUGGGGAGCGAACAGG